rnacentral:tRNA from 1 species
GGCGUGGUGUAAUGGCUAACACAUCAGUCCGGUUUACUGAAGAUGCUGGUUCGCUCUCAGCCGCCG